GGCCAAGUCAUAUCGGACUUUUCUCAAUCCCCCGGACUGCAGCAUGCCAGGCUUCCUUGUUCCUCAUCGUCUCCUGGAGUUUGCUCAAAUUCAUGUCCAUUGACUUGGACAGUCAGUUGUUUGAUACAUGGUUCUAACUGUUGCUUCUUGACCUGCAUACAGGUUUCUCAGGAGACAGGGAGAGAUCAAGAUGACAGAGGAUAUGGAGCUCACCUUCCUCCAUGAACACGUCAAAAAUAUAUCUACAUGUGGGACAAUUACCACUGACAAUUAACUGGAAACUGGGAGAGGACUCCUAUACUACCAAGGCUGCAAGAAAGAUCCAGCUACAAUCAGGUAGAAAGGAAAGAAAAGUAAUCAAGUAGAGACCUGUGUCCCUGAGGGAGGACUCAGAAGAGGAGGGGCAUUAGGGUGGUGUCAUCUGCAUAUCUGAGGUUAUUGAUAUUUCUCCCAGCAAUUUUGAUUCCAGCUUGUGCUUCAUCCAGCCCAGCGUUUCUCAUGAUGUAUUCUGCAGAUAAGUUAAAUAGGCAAGGUGACAAUAUACAGCCUUGACAUACUCCUUUCCCUAUUUGGAAGCAGUCUGUUGUUCCAUGUCCAGUUCUUCUUGACCUGCAUACAGAUUUCUCAGGAGGCAGGUGAUCUUUCUGACCCAGGGAUUUAACCUGGGUCUCCUGAAUUUCUGCUGGGAGAUUCUUUACCAUCUGAGCCACUGGGGAAUGUGCUUGUAUUUAAAUGACUGCCAGUUUAAAACAAGCAGAUAUAGUUAUAGGUCAGUAUAUAUGAACCCCAUAGAAAGGACAAAUCAAAAGCCUACAAUAGAUAUACAAAGCCUAGAGAGAAAGGAACAUAAGCAUACCAGUAAAGAAAAUCAUCAAACCACAAGGGAAGAAACUAAAAGAAGAAAAAAAAAGAGAAAAACUACAAAAACAAGCAGAAAACAAGCAGCAAAAUGGCAAUACUGAAACCCCAGCAGGUGGAGGAAGUUAAACACAUGAUGACCAGACAGUAGCCGUGACAUAAGCUGCCACAAUUCUGAGAAUUGGCCUCAAGGAAAUGGAAACAAACCGGCCCUGGAACUGAAGACUAAUUGUACUUAAAACAAUCACCACAUGACCAACUUUAAGAAGACUGGCGGAGCUGACUGUGUCUGCAUGAAGCCCCCUCUGUCUAUAAAAGCUCUUGCCCACUGCUUGUCAGUGGGGGGUGUCAGCCUUUGGACUAGAGUCUGCCCUUUCCCCCACCUCAGUUGCCAGCAUCUGAAAUAAAGUAAACUUACCUUUCCACAAAACUUGUCUUGCUAUUGGCUUUUGAGGGGUGAGUAGCCAGACCUCCACUUUUGGUUACACUUCCUACAGGGGCAGCCUUGGAAAGGAGGCAGGACAGAGGUUCAGGAAGGCAAAUGAAGGAGAGAAGGGCUCUUCAAUCUUCGUCCUUCAACAGUAACAACUGACAUGGACAGAGGACUGUCUUUUGCCAGACACCAUCCUGAGAGCCUUAACAUGUAAC
ensembl:lncRNA